GACGAACGCUGGCGGCGUGCUUAACACAUGCAAGUCGAACGGAAAGGCCCUGCUUUUGUGGGGGGCUCGAGUGGCGAACGGGUGAGUAACACGUGAGUAACCUGCCCUUGACUUUGGGAUAACUUCAGGAAACUGGGGCUAAUACCGGAUAGGAGCUCCCGCUGCAUGGUGGGGGGUGGAAAGUUUCGGCGGUUGGGGAUGGACUCGCGGCUUAUCAGCUUGUUGGUGGGGUAGUGGCUUACCAAGGCUUUGACGGGUAGCCGGCCUGAGAGGGUGACCGGCCACAUUGGGACUGAGAUACGGCCCAGACUCCUACGGGAGGCAGCAGUGGGGAAUAUUGCACAAUGGGCGGAAGCCUGAUGCAGCAACGCCGCGUGCGGGAUGACGGCCUUCGGGUUGUAAACCGCUUUCGCCUGUGACGAAGCGUGAGUGACGGUAAUGGGUAAAGAAGCACCGGCUAACUACGUG
rnacentral:rRNA from 1 species